rnacentral:lncRNA from 1 species
GUUUUUGAAAGCUACCAUAUUUCCGUAGUAUGAACGGCGUCUAGUGUACAUAAUUGUAAUCCUAGUAUCUGAUGAGUUUGUUAAUAUAGAGAUUCCUCAUGAGCAUAUUAAACAAUUUCUUUCCAUUUUAUGUCAUUUUAAGGAUUUAUUUUUUAUUUUUAGGAGAAUAUACGUUUGAAUUAUUUUCCUAUACGCAGGCGCAGUGUACCUUCUUCCAGUUGAUUACGGUCAUCAUUAUUCUUCCUCAUACAUGUUUUUGCAUCUAUGUAUGUUGCAAUUGUUGUAUCAGACAAGAAUUCAUCCAUUGCUGUAUGGGGUUAUGCUUUUGUCCCUGUUUCCACUGGGUAUGGAUACUGUUAGAAGGCUUUGUAGGUAAGAAAAACUAUAUUUUAAACAUUUUCGUCACGUAAUAAGCCCCUAUGAAUCCGUAGGAAUAGAUAUCAUGACGUCACAUUAUAAGUGUUAUUGUUUUUCGUUGAUUUUUGUUUGUUUUACUAACCUUGACACAAAAGGGCCGCGUGCGAUAAUUGUUGUACUACUAAACCCCUACGGAUCCAUAGAGGGUUAGUGAAAACCAUUACAGAUGUGGCCUUCGGCUUACCACUAUAGUUUUUAUAUACCCGCUAUGCCAGGAUCCAUAUGUGGUCACUAACAAACCCUCACGCUUAUAUUAUAACAUCUCAGGUGAGUUAGUGACGCUGCGAUUGACUUAAUGCCUCAACGUGCUGAUUUAAUAGAGGGCGAUAAAUUCGUUUUACGGUUUGCUUAUGAUUUAUACAGGGAAUUCGGGGUUUGGCCCUUGUAAUCAGUAGCAAAAUGUAUUGAUUACAAUGUAUUCAAGUUGCAACUUGUAACAUUGAAAUAUCAAAGACACUGUACUAUAAUGAUUAUAUUUUUUGUUUUGUUGUGUUUUUUUAAAGUAUUUAAAUUAUCAUAACUUUACAGUAUAUCAGUUAAACUCAUUGGUAUUCAAUUACACAAGGUUUGAUCUACGUUCGGAUUGUGUCUUUGUGAGUGUAAACAAGGGAAUUGGACAUACUCUUUCUACUCCAACUCAAAGAUUUGAAACCGUCAAAAAAAUAAAGUGAUGAUUGAAUAUUUUCUAUUUGAUAGGAAUUGGCUGCAUAAUAAGUUGUUCGGUUCUUGGGAUUUAUUUGUCACCAAGUGACAUAAGACAUAUAGAUGGAUUCUUUUAUUGCCUUUCCAGUUGAAUAUUUGGAAUACUAAAGGUAAUAUUAUAAUUCAUCAUUGAUCAUAAGACACACUGUAUAUAUAACAUUUACACAGUUCGCAGUAUUCUACUACAUCUGAAUUUGUCCAAUGUUAUGCAUUUCAUUCUUCUUGUAAAAUCUAUAUAAAGACUUGGUUUGACUUCUGGAUAAUACAUAUACUGCGUUGUUUAUUGAAAUUAUUUGCUGUUGUUUUAUAUCUGAUGAGACAACUAUCUACCAAACUUGAAAUGACAAAGAUGUUUCGAAUUAUAGGUCACUGUACGAAGUUCAACAAUGAGCAAAGCCAUACCAUAAAGUACGCUAUAAAAGGCAUUAAAAUGACAACAUGUCAAACAAAUCAAUUCUGAGAACCAACAUUUUGAAUCUAAACAGCAAACGAUACAAACCAAAUAUCACAGACAGUAACCAACAGCAACCACUGAAUUGCAGGCUCUUGACAUGGGACAGUCACAUACAGAAUAUGUUUGGAUAAACAUAUUUUUAAGACCCCAACCCUCUGAUCUCAUUAUUUGGGUCAAUUGUAAAAAAGCACACCACUUAAUGAUAAGAUAAAAUUAUCUUUCUAUGUUAGAAAUGUUUAUUGAACAUAAAACAAGAGGGUCCAAGGACCCUGUGUCGCUCACCUGAUAUUUUUAUUUACAAUUGAUGCAUGAUAAAUGCAACUGUUGUUACUGUCGUUUAGUUUCAGAAUAUAAUACUAAAAGUGCGUUUGAAACCUAUGUUUUAUUUCAGCCAUGUGGACAGGCAGGUUCAUCAUACACAGUGUCCCUGGAUAUCCUAGUGUGAUUUAAACAAGUUUGUUUAAAUUGACAGUUGUUUCAGGGGAGAAUUUGUAAAAUUAUCUAACGAGAAAUGCAAAGUAAUGAGAAAGUGUGAAGUUGUUUGUUGCUGGCGCAACCCCCCCUCCCGCUCCCCCUUUGCAAAAAACAAAAAGUAAUACAAAUAUCAUAUAAGGCAAUCUAUCCUAUUAAUGAUUCUGCAAAAUUCAGUUGAUUGUGCAAGGUUGUAGCCGCUGAGUCGUUAAAUUCUCUUUUGUUGUUACGAUAGAUCUUGACCUGAUAAACAAUUUAUCAAGGUCAGAUUUGCUCUAAUGCUUUGGUUUUUGAGUUAUAAGCCAAAAACUGCAUUUUACCCCUAUGUUCUAUUUUUAGCAUGUGGCCAUCUUGGUUGUUGGGCGGGUCAUCCGGACACAAUUUUUAAACUAGAUACCCAAAUGAACAUUCAGUUAAGUUUGGUUAAUUUGGCCAGUAGUUUCAGAGGAGAAGAUUUUUGUAAAAGAUAACUAAGAUUUACGAAAAAUGGUUAAAAAUUUACUAUAAAGGGCAUUAACUCCUAAAGGGUCAAUAGACCAUUUUAGUCAUGUUGACUUAUGUGUAGAUCUUACUUUGCAGAACAUUAUUGCCUGUUUACAGUUUAUCUCUAUCUAUAAUAAUAUUCAAGAUAAUAACCAAAACAGCAAAAUUUCCUUAAAAUUACCAAUUCAGGGCAGCAACCCAACGGUUGUCUGAUUCAUCUCAAAAUUUCAGGGCAGAUAGAUCUUGACAUGAUAAAUUUUUUUACCACAUGUCAGAUUUGCUCUAAAUGCUUUGGUUUUUGAGUGAUAAGCCAAUAAACUAAUAAUGAUUUUGGCAAUGUUUGGUUAAAUUUGGCCCAGCAGUUUCAAAGGAGAAGAUUUUUGUAAAAGUUAACGACGACGGACGACGGACGCCAAGUGAUGAGAAAAGCUCACUUGGCCCUUCGGGCCAGGUGAGCUAAAAAUGUAUUGAUAAUUUAAAUCAGUUUUAGAAACGGAGAUCAAACAGAAGGGCACAGGUUGCCUGAUUUCUUAUGGUUAAAGCAAAUUCAGGGAGUUUAUUAAUUACGAUUUUCCAACAGCUUUCCAUACACUUAUUUAUUGUUCAUACCCAGAUGCUGUUUGAGUGUCGGAAGUCACGGGAUUUAACGCUGUCGGAGUGAAACCAACGACAAUUGACAUGUGCUGAUAUUACGCCGAAACAAAAUGUAAAAUAUGAUAGGUUUAGAAUAAUGCGAGUUCUUGCAGUUGGUCACCUUGUAACUUUGCUUACUACUUGUAAUCACAGUCCAAUGUGUCAAAUCAUGGUUAAUAUCUCACAUGCAAAUUAUCUCGUCCUGAAUUUGCACUUGAUUUGUCAUUAACUGGUAAAAAUCCAUCCAUCUUCAUCAUUUGUAUCAUUAUCAAUGUGUCAACAUCGGUACUCUUAUAACAGGCUCUGAGUACUAUGGUAGGUUGAUAUAUAGAUGUUGCAGCAGAUCAUUUUACUACUUUAGUUAGUUCUUUACAUUUUUAUAUUUAAAAACUUAUUUAAGGAUUAAUUUGUCCAGUUUGUAGGUUAUAUUGUUUACAUCAAGAAAGUUGGAUUUCCUUCAGGUGAUAACUUCUAUGGAUGCAACCAUCAAUUUAAAAACAUCAAGAUUAAGAAAGAGCAAAUUGGCAUAAGAAAAUAUAAAAAUGCGACAGGACGUACUAUCAAAAAGGAAAAAGAGUUCAUACAGACCAUAAGCUAUCGAUGACGCUGUUACAUGUAAUUUAUAGACAAGAUAUUUCGGCAUGUUGUUAUUUAACAAUGUAUUUAAACCUGAAAGCUGUUAUUUAUAUCAAAUUACUAUAAGAAUGAAUUAAAAGAUUUUUUUAUUAUAAACGUAGUCGCUAUGAAAACGGAGAAACAUAUGACUCAAAUAGCUUCAUAUGAUUAAGAUACACAAAAACUCAAUGUUUUCACUGUACCAGUUGAAUUUUUUUCGGAAAUCACAUUUUAAGAAUCUUUAGGAUUAUUAUACAAUAUCAUUCUUAACAAAGUUUGGUUGACUGAGAAAAAAAA